rnacentral:rRNA from 1 species
CCUGAACGCUGGCGGCGUGGCUAAGACAUGCAAGUCGAACGGAGGUAGCAAUACCUCAGUGGCGGACGGGUGAGUAAUGUAUCGCUAACGUGCCCUAGAGCCGGGGAUAGCCGGGGGAAACUCCGGGUAAUACCCGAUGACAUAUUCCUUUCGCAUGGAGGGAAUCUCAAAGGAGCAAUCCACUCUGGGAGCGGGCGAUAUCGUAUCAGCUAGUUGGUGAGGUAACGGCUCACCAAGGCGACGACGCGUAGCCGGACUGAGAGGUUGGCCGGCCACA